AUUGAACGCUGGCGGAAUGCUUUACACAUGCAAGUCGAACGGUAGAGGGGGCAACCCCUUGAGAGUGGCGAACGGGUGAGUAAUAUAUCGGAACGUGCCCAGUCGUGGGGAUAACGUAGCGAAAGCUACGCUAAUACCGCAUACGAUCUAUGGAUGAAAGCGGGGGAUCGCAAGACCUCGCGCGAUUGGAGCGGCCGAUAUCAGAUUAGGUAGUUGGUGAGGUAAAGGCUCACCAAGCCGACGAUCUGUAGCUGGUCUGAGAGGACGACCAGCCACACUGGGACUGAGACACGGCCCAGACUCCUACGGGAGGCAGCAGUGGGGAAUUUUUGGACAAUGGGCGCAAGCCUGAUCCAGCAAUGCCGCGUGCAGGAUGAA
rnacentral:rRNA from 1 species